UAAGAAUAACAUUUAUGUAAAUUUAACUUGUGAAUCUGAAAUGAAAAAGGUAUGAUUGUAGGUCAAUCCUUUUAUUCCCCUGUAUUUGAGAUCUACUGUGGUUUGAGUAAACAGGACCUACUCUUCAGUGACCUUGGUGAGGACGGUGACAGUAUUGAGGAAGGGGCCCGAGUAUAACAAGGUAACAACGUUCUUAAAUAUCAAGAGGAUGUACAGUGUGCUUGCUGCGAGGCUAAAAAAAAAUCAUACCCUAUUUUAUAUAUUUUGUGCCUUUUCCUCACUUUAGCUUACUACUUUAAAUAUUCAUAUCAUUUAAUUUUUAUUGUUAUAUCUGGACUUUAAUCAUUGUUGGGUUUUCCUCUCUCUCUUUGUCUCUCUCUGUCUCUCUCUGUCUCUUGCUGUCUCUGUCUCUCUCUGUCUCUCUCUGUCUGUCUGUCUCUCUCUCAAUUUUAUUUCACAAAAUACAUUUUAGCCUAACAGACUUAAAUUUUUAUAUGAACAUAAAGAAAAAAAUUAAACUGACCUCCGGAAAUCCUCUUUACCUCGAAACAAUAUAUUAAAAUGACAUAAUAUUGUGUGUAUGUCUUGACAGAGAAGCUUUACAAUGUAGUUCUUCUGGCAUCAUUGGAUGAGAAGCACAAAUUUCUCAGUAAUGAGGUUGAACAUCUGGAGAAGGAAAGCCAGAUGGUACAAAGACUUAAAAUUUAUCUUCUGACUGUACAUCUGUGUUUGAGUGAAACAUCAGGAAUGUUUUUGCACUGUAAAAAUGACAAAACAAAUUCUUAUUCUUGGCCAAGAGAAACUUGCAAAAUUAUUUGCCGUUUCUCUUUUUUUCCUGAAAAGGACCGUUUAAUGACCAAGAAGUUGGACAAAGUAAAGCUGGAGUCAUUUAAAGUUAACCUGGAAAACAGAGAUGCUGAACUGAAUGAAGCAAAGUUAGUCAUCUGGAGUCCCUGAAACAUGAGCGAGAGGAACUGCAGCAUCUGCUGAAGAAUCAGAAGUUUAAACCUGCUGAUGUAGAGAGGAUCAACAAAGAGAAUAAUGAACUCCAGCAGUCACCUGCCUCUUUGUUGUGUGAAACUGAGGAGAAUCUUUUGGGUGUUGUUCCUAAGAGAGCCUUGUAUGUGGGUGAUAGGUUGUCUUAGCCCACCUCCUCUGUUGAGUGAUGGUUUUUCUAGGUUGACAAAAAUAGCUUCUUUUACCCCUCUCUCAAACCAUCGGUCAUUUUACUUCUUUCUUCUGUUUCACCAUUCUCCUGCAGGUGGACUUUAAGGUGGCAGAGUACCACAAGCUGGCACGCAAACUGAAGCUGAUACCAGUCGGUGCAGAUUCCUGUGGUCAUGAUUUGACGAUCAAACAAUUUAAAUAUGGAGUUGGCAGCAUGGUUCAACAUAAGGCUCAGAUACAGAUCCUGCUGAGGAAACUCGUAAGUGACAUGGAAAACGUCGAUUAACAAACACCAACCUCAGCCUGGAAGAAUCCUGAACAGGUAAAAAUGUUUAUGUUCCUGAUUCUUUGGUAUUUGUUUUUUGCAGAUUUCCAC